GGUGUUAUAGUAUAGUGGUUAGUACGACACGUUGUGGAUAUACAAUUGUAUACAGCAGAGCCGUGUAGACCCAGGUUCGAUUCCUGGUAACGCCA